AUUGAACGCUGGCGGCAUGCUUUACACAUGCAAGUCGAACGGUAACAGGUUAAGCUGACGAGUGGCGAACGGGUGAGUAAUGCAUCGGAACGUGCCCGGUCGUGGGGGAUAACGCAGCGAAAGCUGCGCUAAUACCGCAUACGAUCUGAGGAUGAAAGCGGGGGACCGUAAGGCCUCGCGCGAUCGGAGCGGCCGAUGUCAGCUUAGGUAGUUGGGGGGGUAAAGGCUCACCAAGCCGACGAUCUGUAGCUGGUCUGAGAGGACGACCAGCCACACUGGGACUGAGACCCGGCCCAGACUCCUACGGGAGGCAGCAGUGGGGAAUUUUGGACAAUGGGCGCAAGCCUGGUCCAGCAAUGCCGCGUGCAGGAAGAAGGCCUUCGGGUUGUAAACUGCUUUUGUACGGAGCGAAAAGGCUCUCUCUAAUACAGGGGGCUCAUGACGGUACCGUAAGAAUAAGCACCGGCUAACUACGUGCCAGCCGCCGCCGUAAUAC
rnacentral:rRNA from 1 species